GAAGAAGAAGAAGAAGAAGAAGAAGAAGAAGUAGAAGUAUUACGUACAAUCCCUACGCUGUGUUUGCGUUGUGUUGUGUCUGCGUCGUGUCGCCAUGGACGUUACGCAAGGAGCGUAGCGGGGAAGAACGACACUUCCGGUUGUGGCCGUGCGGAGCGGAGACGUUGUUGUUGGCGCAGCAGCAGCAGCAGCAGCAUCCAAGAUACAGAGGAGACGGUGACGAUGGCCGAUAUAUCUCUGUACCUCACCAACGUGAACGUGUCGAUAGGACAGAACAUGGCCGUGGAGCAGACUCAGGGUCCAAAGCCGGGCAAGGACUUUGAGAGCGUGGAGCUGGGGGAGCGGGAGCGGGGCGAGGAGCCGCAGCAGAGGGAGAAGGUGCCCCGCAGGAUCAUCCACUUCUCCAGCGGGGAGACCAUGGAGGAGUACAGCACCGACGAGGAGGACGGGGAGCCCGAGAGGAAGGACCUGCUGUCCUCGCCGGGCGAUGCGGUGAGGUCUAAGAUGACCUGGGGUCCCUACUUCUGGUUCCACAUGUGGAGAGCUGCCACAUCCACCGUCUCAGAGCUGGUGGGAGAAAGUCUCUCACCCUUCCCUACAGUGAUAACAUUUCCCCCGUGCGCUGCCAGACAACAGCACCGUGUGUGGAAAAGGCAGACGGUCGAGGUUGUUGUUGCUACAGCAUGCGACUACCUGGGGGAGAGGAUGGCCUCCCUCUUUGGAAUCACUUCAGCCAAAUAUCAGUACGCCAUCGAUGAGUACUACAGGAUAAAGAAAGAGAGGGAGGAAGAGAAGGAGGAAAACCGCUUGUCAGAGGAAGCCGAGCGCUCUUUCGACCAGCUACAAUCUCAGGGAGACGAGGACGAGCCGAUCGCCGUGUCCGAUCGACCGGAGGUGUCCGCCGCUCACCCCGAGGUGGCCUACCAGAUCGAGGAUGAAAAUCAGGUACCCUCAAGCACCAUCGUGGUCCCUGCCAUCGUCACGGCGACCUAACCGUCCACGGGAAAAAGGACACUUGAGCUUUAAUGUGUGUUUGUUAAAGAAGGACCACUGUCUUGUUUCACCAAGCACCGUCCUGGUUUGUGUGUGACGCAGCUUUAGACGGGCAGUGCCGCUGUAUGGUGGUUGUUCGGCAACGACGGUAGUGGUGAAACGUCUGACCACUACAGGAGGUGUCCCUUUGCAACAGUGUGGCAACUGAUGAAGUCACCGCCGGAUGAUAAUGUAGUAAAAUCUUUGGAUACAUGCAAACCUAGCAAGAGUUGCCACAGCAGCCUCCCCAGACUUGAACGCUUUGCUGCGGAGUGGAGGUUAGAUGUUGCUCCCCCGUGCCUCCAAUGGACCGGACACUGUGCCUAAAUCACCAAUACAGCCAAGUCAGUGCCAGAUCUAGACUAAACAUUUAUUUAAAAAUUGAUUGACAGUGUUUAAAGGACGUAAAAUAGGUAGAGCCUGAUCGAUGCAUCGGUUGGCCGAUAAAAUCGUCCGAUAUGAACCCGUCGCAGACAUUUCAGUUAAUGCGUUUGUGUUUGUCGAUAUAUGAAAAGUUUUAUUUCAAAGAACAAACGGUGCAGAAACAAUGUUUAUUUAUGUUUACCCUUAACUGUAAACUGUAAAUUAUAAAGCCUCAAUUACACUUAUUUGUCGUAAGGGUUUGAUAACGACAUCUUAAUAAUCAUAAAAAAAAUAAAAUUUAUGCAUUGGUAUGAAAAAAAAUUACUCCCUAAUAUCGUAAAUCGGACCCCUUAAAACCCACAUCUGUUGGGCUCUAAGAAUAGUUUUUGCGUGUACACACAGCUUUGGAUUAAGUUUUUCAAAAAUAUGUGAUGCGUUUGACACAUGUUUACUGUUUAUUGUCUGUUCAAAUUGGUGUGCCCUCUGUACGGUUCUCGGCAUGGCUGCGCUAAAGAGGCGGCCAUUUUGACACUCCUUCUCGUUGAACUGUUGUCCGUAUUAAUGUUGAUUAAGAUCGUAUUGCACUCGACGUCUGUGGAAGCACUGAGCAGAUUUAUCCUUGGUUAUUACUGACAUUUUGUCUGAAAAAAAAUCUAUGAAAAACGGGUUCAGACGUUCCGUUAUCUGUUGCUCUUUCGUCUGCCCCAUCUGCUACAGACGCGACACGUACAGUAGUAGAUGCGGUGUGUCGGCCUUUGACGACGGCAGGGAGCAUUGUUACACUAAGUCUGUAUACAGACAUGCAAACUUACAUUUUUUAACAGUUUUUAUUACAAUUUUUGAUAUUUACGUAUUUAUUUUACCAAACUGACUGCACUUCAUUUAAGUACUGAAUGUUUUCUAUGGUUUGAUUAAGUAACACUGUAAUGAAAUGUGAAUAAAAAUCAUAGUUACUGUC